GUGUCAGCCGCCGCGGUAAUACGUAGGGUGCGAGCGUUAAUCGGAAUUACUGGGCGUAAAGCGUGCGCAGGCGGUUCGUUAAGUUCGUUGUGAAAGCCCCGGGCUCAACCUGGGAACGGCAAUGGAAACUGGCGGGCUAGAGUGUGGCAGAGGGGGGUGGAAUUCCACGUGUAGCAGUGAAAUGCGUAGAGAUGUGGAGGAACACCGAUGGCGAAGGCAACCCCCUGGGCUAACACUGACGCUCAGGCACGAAAGCGUGGGGAGCAAACAGGAUUAGAUACCCCCGUAGUCC
rnacentral:rRNA from 1 species